rnacentral:lncRNA from 1 species
GCGGGGUAUUCCCCGGCAAAUAAACACAAAUAUCUCGGGACAUUCCCUGGCCAAAUAAUACAUUUAAUCAAAAAACAAUAAAACCAAGUCAUUCAACACAUGUUUCUAUCAUUCAACAUUCCACAAUUCCUGGAAUUUGCCUACCCAACUUGUCCUAUCAUGGCACUAUCAUGAUCAACGAUGUCAAUGAAUCAAAGUAAAUUAACAUUAGCUUUUUAUCAGUUUUAAAUUUCCAACCCCCAAAUAACUGAUUCCGCUUCUCGAAUGAGAUAUUAUUUCAUCACACAAUUCAUGAUCGAGAGGACCCACAACGAAUCAAAAUAAGCAAAUAUUCACCAACCAAGAUCAAACGGCACACGGUAUUCAACCCAAUACAUCGAAUAUGAUAAACAAUGAAAUAAAAAUAGGGACGGAGUAGAAUUGGACCUCAAAAUGUUUCUUUCAAAAUCGAUGUAUUAUUCGAUUAAAUCCGGUAGAAUCUGUAUCCGAAACCUUGAUUCGAAACUUCAAAUCGAACCAACUCCAACUCGAUCAAAACCCAAAAAGAAGACCGAACAACCUUGAGACAGUCCCCCCGAAUACCCGAGAAAGGAAAAGAGACUGGUCUUAGGAAUUUCGCCUGCUCAACAAUAGUUUGCUGAAACAGAACAAUAGACAACCAAGAAAAAUGUUCUUUCCGGCCAAGAUUCGUCAGAAAAGGGUGAUUAACGGACUAACCUGACGCUGAUCUUGGGGUAUUAGUGGAUUAGAAGUACAGAUGUCAACUAGUAGCCUUUUUUUCUGGUAAUUUCGAUCAGAUUUGGUAGGUUCUGACACAUUUCCAGUGAAACCAUCGCUGGAACAGUAACUCGAACACAGAGCUGACCUUUCUCCAUUAACUUCGUCUACCCCUUUUCUCUCUUGGUUCCCUCUCUCCUCGAUUCUGUGUGUGAAUUGUUCAGAAGAGGAUGGUGUCUCUGUGUGUAUCGUGGAGUUCUCCCAUAUGAAGAAAAGAACCAAAAAUGGAGUGUUCAAAAACUGCCUGUAUUGUUUAUAUAUAUGAUAUCCUGUAAAGGAUCAAUUCCAAAAUGGGAGUAUAUGGGUCCCCCCUUUCUGAAUGUAGCGUGUAGUGUAUAUAUAUAUGGUUAAUACCUUUGUGAAAUUGGAAAAUGAUAAAAAGAAAUGGAAUCUUUUGGUGGUCCCACCAGAUGACAAAUUGUUUGUGAUUUAGUUCGAUGAAAUGAAAAGGAACGUGACGGGUUGGGGACGUGGGGUAUGGGUUAGGUUGUUAGGAUAAGAAUAAAAUUGGUUAGGGGUUGUUAUUUUUUGUCAUUUUAUGGAGGGAUAAUUACAUGGUCGAGGGUACACGAUAGGAUAAGGUAAAAUGAGUAAAAGUGAUAUCGGGGAGGAACAAAAUUAUGUGUCUACAUCAUGCCCCUCUUUGCAUGUAAACACAAGUUGUUUUCAUACAAAGAACUAGACAAAAAGACAGAAUUUUGACCUGACCAUUAUUCAAAGGAAGAAACAAAAGAAAGAAGGAUAACCAAGUUGGAGAGUCGAGUGAGGUUCCAUCUAGGUUCCAUUCCGCGGUUCUGUCAUUACAUCAAAAUGAAAAUUACAAACUAAAACAUAAAUGAAAUUACAAAAAUCCUAACUAUGCAGCUUCUUUUGGAUUCUUGACUUGGGUUUCAUCACCCUAUUUUUUAAGCAGGUUCCUGACUUGCUAUUUCGUGAACUUGUUGCUUGGCUUUCAAUUUCUUUACCUUGUUUCUUGACUUUCUAUUCCUUGACCCUGUUCUUCAGGUGAGCUCCUGACUUACAAUUUCCUAAGCUUCCAAUUUCUUUACCCCGUUCUUAAGCAGACUCCUGAAACCAAAACUAAAACUACAAAAGAAAAAAAAAGUUAUCCCGAACAAAAAUUAUGAUAAAGAAGGAUUUCAUGUUUUGAAAGUAUGGUCCCAUUUUUCAGGGGGGUCCUGAACAUAAAGUAAAAUCCCAUUUUUCAUGAGAGUCCUGAACAGAAAGUAAAAUCCCAUUUUUCAGGAGGUCCUGAAUAUAAAGUAAAUUCCCAUUUUCAGGAGGGUCCUGAACAUAAAGUAAAUUCUCAUUUUUCAGGAGGUCCUGAACAGAAAGUAAAAUCCCAUUUUCGAGGAGGGUCCUGAACAUAAAGUAAAAUCUUAUUUUUCAGGAGGGUCUUGAACAGAAAGUAAAAUCUCAUUUUUCAGGAAGGUCCUGAACAGAAAGUAAAAUCUUAUUUUUCAGGAGGGUCCUUAACAGAAAGUAAAGUCCCAUUUUCUAGGAGGGUCCUGAACAGAAAGUAAAGUCCUCUGAACAGAAAGUAAAGUCCCAUUUUUCAGGAGGGUCCUAAAUAGAAAGUAAAGUCCCAUUUUUCAGGAGGGUCCUGAUCAGAAAGUAAAAUUCCAUUUUUCAGGAGGGUCCUGAACAGAAAGUAAAAAUCUCAUUUUCCAGGAGGGUCCUGAACAUAAAGUAAAAUCCAUUUUUAAGGAGGGUCCUGAAUAGAAAGUAAAGUCCCAUUUUUCAGGAGGGUCAUGAACAGAAAGUAUAAUCUCAUUUUUUUAGGAGGGUCCUGAACAAAAGGUAAAAUUCCAUUUUCCAGGAGGGUCCUGAACAGAAAGUAAAAUCCCAUUUUCUAGGAGGGUUUUGGUAAAAUUCCAUUUUUCAGAAUGGUCUUGAACAGAAGGUAAAAUCUCAUUUUUUAGGAGGGUCGUGAAUAUAAGGUAAAAUCUCAUUUUUUAGGAGGGUCCUGAACAUAAAGUGAAAUUCAAUUUUUCAGGAGGGUCCUGAACAUAAAGUAAAAUCCCAUGUUUCAAGAGGGUCCUGAACAGAAAGUAAAAUUUCAUUUUUUAGGAGGGUCCUGAACUUAAGUAAAGUCCAAUUUUUAGGAGGGUCCAUAAUAGAAAGUAAAAUCCUAUUUUUCAGGAGGAUCCUGAACAGAAAGUGAAAUCCCAUUUUUCAGGAGGGUCCUGAACAGAAAGUGAAUUCUCAUUUUUCUAGAGUGUCCUAAACAAAAGUAAAGUCCCUUUUUCAUGAGGGUCCUGAACAGAAAGUAAAAUCCAAUUUUUCAGGAGAGCCCUGAACAGGAAGUGAAAUCUUAUUUUUGAUGAGGAUCUAGAACAUAAAGUAAAUUUCCAUUUUUCAGGAGGGUCCUGAACAGAAAGUAAAAUCCUAUUUUUCAGGAGGGUCCUGAACAGAAAGCAAAAUCUCAUUUUUCAGGAGGGUCCUGAACAUAAAGUAAAAUCCCAUUUUUCAUGAGGGUCCUGAAUAGAAAGUAAAAUCCAAUUUUUCAGGAGAGCCUGAACAGGAAGUGAAAUCUUAUUUUUUAUGAGGAUCUAGAACAAAUAGUAAAUUUCCAUUUUUUAGGAGGGUCCUGAACAGAAAGUAAAAUCCUAUUUUUCAGGAGGGUCCUGAACAGAAAGCAAAAUCUCAUUUUUCAGGAGGGUCCUGAACAUAAAGUAAAAUCCCAUUUUUCAGGAGGGUCCUGGACAGAAAGUAAAAUCCCAUUUUUUAGGAGAGUCCUAAACAUAAAGUGAAACCUCAUUUUUCAGGAGGGUCAUGAACAAAAGUAAAAUCCCAAUAUAUGCUUUCCCAAAGAUAGCUGAACUUAUUGCACAAAACUUUUUCCCCUAUUUCAUCAUAGGAAAUUUGGCAGUUAAAACUUAGUGGUGGCAUAUGACACUUGGCUUCUCAGCAUCUUCCCCAGCACUCGUUUCUUUCAUCUUUGUUCCAAAUUGCUGACACUUGUCUUGUCUUGCCGCAUCAUUGACCCAGACCAGAUCAGGGGAAAUGACUAUGACUCAGACACCGAGUUUUUACUUUUUUACCAUGCCCCCGAGAUGUACUUUUUGACAUCUGAUACUCCCAUGAAUCUAGUUACCUGUCGGUUGAUAGACUUUCUUUGCUUUGUGUUGAAUUACAAUCCUAUUUCUUUUAUGUGCUGGUCUUUGGCAUUUCCUCAUACAAUUGGGAAGACUGGUAGCAAGUUUUGAAAUUCUUUCUCGCUUGUUUUGACACAGACUUGACUUAAAAAUGUAAAAAAAAAUGAUGGUGACUUUUAAUUUGAUAAAUGACAUAAAAAGACAGUAUGAAUAUGUAAAUGAAAGAAAAGGGCAAUGUCUCUUAUUCAAAAAGAAAACUUAUCUAAAUAUGUCAACCAACUUCAAUGAGCACGACAUACAUUUUAGAUUAAGCUGCCUGAUGUGUGAGCAGAUGUUAACACAUUUGAGGCUUUUAAAUCUAAAUAAUUGCAAAGUCUUAAGCAACUUUUGGUUGUUUUUGAUCGUUUUCUUGUGAUAUUGUAGUUGUAGCAAGGAUGGGAGGAAAACAUAGGAAGUAUGAUCAAAAUAAGUAAAAUCUAGUACAACUGAGCUGAUAAGCCUUCAGAGAUGUGGUAAGCUACCAGAAAAAGGCGUCAGGAAGAAUAGUGUAGAAGAGUUGAUGGAUGAAGGUAACGAUAUUCUCAAUAUGUCAUAACAAAUGCGGUAAGCCGUCAGAAGAGGCCGUCAAGUGGAACAGGACAUGGUGAAAUAAGCUUAAGUUCUGACGAUAUUUGCUACACGCCGUCACUCCUCUGGUAAGUCAUCGGAGAACAUCAUCAGAGUGAGGCAGAAAAGGUUAAGAAAGCACGACUUCUGGCAACAUAUCUGAGAUACCGUCAGAAUCUGAAUGAUCAACACCAAUAUGCCGUCACCUAAAUCCGAGCCCUUAUUUCCUUAAUUAGGCUUUAGUAUAAAUAGCAUCUCUUAGGUUUUUUGAUUGAUUCAUAAUUCAUCUAUCAGAAAAUUAACCUAGGGAAGAGAGGCACGUAACAUUACUCUCUUACAUCAAUUAUUCUUCUUGAUUUUAUCAACUAUUUUUGGGUUUCUACUUUGUGAUUCAAUCAAAGAAACUACUUGUUAUUUUCCAUCUAAUCGUAAGUUAUCCUUAUCAUUAUGAAUUCAACUUCUGAUUUCGUUCAUCAAAUCAUAAACGGCUAAUUCCAUUAGUCGGGGUUAUGGGAUCCGUGGAUUAGGGUUUGAUAUGAUACCAGGUGUUUAACGGAUUUAAAGAGUAGCGGAACAUCUUGAAAUUCUGUCAUUUUAACUGAAAUCUAAUGGUUGCAAACAUUUAGGUAUGCCAUAGAUUUUAUUUUCUUCUAACAGAGAAAUAAACUAGAGGACGUGAAUUAUCAAAUGGGACUCAGAAGCUACCAACCUUCUGUUUAAUGAUUAAUGUCGUAACUGGAUUAAUCUACCUGAGAUAACAUCCUAUUGUAAAUAGAUAAGUUAUCUAAGUUUGAGAGAAUUAGAUAAUAAAUUGUCUGGUGAGGUCGAGAGAUUAGUUAGAUACUAUAAUCGUUAGGGAUAUUAUGUUGUUCUAAUCAUUCCGAGAAUCUCUAGCAUUACCUAGUAUUUGUAAUUUCCCAAAACCCUUGGUGAACAUAGCUUUGGUUUACCAUUUAUACUAAUUAUAAACAUUAAUAUUGAAGUGACAACAUUACUUGAUACUGUCAAAACUCUCAUCUUAAUUUUAUAUUUUUGUACCAUUUGUUUGAAUUGAACUUGUAGCUAUAGCUUCAAAUUAGCUUAAUCUCCACUCACAUUGUUCCCUGUGGAUUCGACCCCGACUCCAAAGUUGGGUAAAUAUAUUGUCGACGACUAUCUUACACUAAUUUUAGGUGUAAGUUGAGCGUUAUAAAAAAUGGCACUGUUGUCGGGGAACAAUUUGGCGUACUGAGUUAGUUUGGAAUUUUAGCUUACUUGCUUGAAUUCAAACUUGUAAAUAUUUGUUUGUGAUUUCCUUUGUUUCGUGUGUUAGGUAGAUUUUCUUUAAUUUGGCUUAUUUCUUACUAUGGAAUCAUGGAAUGAAUGUAAGUUUGAUGGUUGGAAAUCUUAUCUGGAUGAUCCAUGUCCAUAUUGUGAUGGACCCCACUUUUGGCAUGACUGUAGAUAUGCUGCACGGAGAGAGAUGUGUGCACCAUCUCCAUCCUACCAAGAGUAUAAUUUUUCUUUAUGUGGUGGUCAAGAUGAACAUUGGAGUGAUUGCUUAAAUUCCCCUUCCCCCUAUCACGCUAGCCCAAGUUCUAGUUCUUCUUAUGAGUAUGAUAGGUCUUAUGGUCAAGAAAAGAAAGAAUGAAGCACCAGAAAGAGUGACAUUGAAGCUAUGCUUCAACUAAUUUUGGAUCGUAUAGAAACAACGAAUGAUGCCAUAUGUGACAUAUGUCAAGAUAUCAGGGCAUUUAAUAAGGGAAGAGAAAGGAUAGAAGAGAUGGAUAUCGAGGUCAAUCAUCCAAAGCACUUUUCUACAUUAUGUUUAGAUAAUAUCUUCUCUGUGGAAUCAUUUAAAAUAAUGGAAGAGUGUGACGAUGAAGAGCAAGAUUCCUAUACUGAUGAUUGUCAACCCUUGGAGAUUUCCCAACCAACCGAGCCAACCAUGAGGGAUGAUGCCAAGAUUGAGGGAAUGACGCUAGAGGCAAAAGAAAAAGUCAAGUCAAUCUCUUAUGAAGACUCUAGCCCAAUUCAAAGUAAAAAUGUUGAGAAGAUGAAUAAAAGUGAGUGUGUAGAGGAUAGUGUAAAUUUUGAAGAAGGAUUUGUUGGGCAACACUCGAAGCAUUUUUCCACAUUAUGUUUAGAUGAUAUCUUGUCUGUGGAAUCAUCUAAACUAGUGGAAGACUGUGAAGAUGAGGAACAAGAAUCAUAUAUUCUUUAUUUUACACUUAAUAAACAACAUAAAAACACACCUCACUUUAAGGUCGAGUUGUUUACCAUGCAUCAUUCAUUACUCGGCUUCUUAAUCUUUGUGCCACCUCCUUAUGAGCGAGGCAAUAAAAUGGACUCUAAGUUGGGGGUGAAAUUCAUAUUCUCAAGGUGGAGGAAAAAGUUGAGUUUGGUCGUGCCACAACGUUAAACUAGGCGCUUUUUGGGAGGCAACCCAAGGUAAUUUUUUGUUUGUAUUCAUAUUAUAUGAUUGACAUCAGAUCUUCGCACCCAUGGUGCGACAGGUAUGUUUCUAACUUUCUUGUUUUGAUUUGACGUGUUGGGAACAAUACAUGAUAUUAAGUUGAGAGUGGGGCUACUUGUGGGUGUUGAUGUCCUCCUAGGGUUUUUGUUGUCGUGCCUCUUUUCCCCGGAGUCUUGUUCCUAGUAGAGCCGACAUAUUUAGGCGUACUGUGUUUGUUUUGUGAUAUGUUUUAGUUAACUAGAGAAAAAUAAGUAUCUAGAGUAGUUGACAUAUUUUUGUUGAUUUUUGAGACUGAUAAACACCUUUCCGUUGGUCUAUUUUAUAACUAUGUGAUAUACAUUUAUGUGUGACCACUGUGCAUCUUGUUAUGGCAUUAUUACUAGUGACAUGAUAUCCACUACUAAACAAUCGCAUGAACCGAAUAGGUAGUAGCUUGUGAUGCACCUUUGUGCCAUGUGUGUGUGAGAUACUUCUUAGUUCCCUUUGUGUGUUAAAUCCAAAACUUGACCGGCUAGUCUUACCUUGGUUGAAAGAUAGGUGUUAGGAAAGGAUCAUAGGCCGUUUUGAUUUUUAAGUCACUUUUUGCCUAAUGACCUUCCUUGUAUGCAUGAUAUCUCUUGAUCCUCAUUUUGAGCCUGAAUUGACUAUUUUUUUCUAUGACACCUAUCACCUUCCCGUUUAGAUCAUAAUGAACCUAUUUUGGCCCUGGUCCUCCUUGGACACUGUGCACCUAGACUUAAGUAAACAACCUAAGUUGAGGAUGGCUAUCAUAGGGGUGCGUGAUGUAAACUGAGUAUGAAGAAAGGUGGAAUGAAAGGAAAAGAAUAAGUGAAAAAGAAUAAAAAGCUGGGUGGUGUGGAAGAAGAAUAAGAAAAGAAAAAGAAUGGAAAAGAAAAGCCACAUCCAUCCUGAAUAAUGUGUGAUCAAGAAAAGGAGAAAAAGAAGAAAAAGGUUAAUAAGUGAACCCCAAAAGUUAAGGUAGUUCCAAGGAGGCUUAGUCACUCUAAAUGCCAUUGAAUAUCAUACCAGCCCUUAGCCUACAUUACAAGACAAAGAAAAGACCUAUAGUGAUCCUAACUUACCUGUCUGGACACCUUGGUAAUGAAAAUAAAGGCAAGCAUAUGGUAUUUGACAUGCACUGAUUGAAAUUUCUUUUUGAGAGUGAGUGUCUCUUGACCGUCCCCGCAUUGAAAUACUUGAGUUCAUAUAUGAGUAAGGAGGGACUUCUUUGUUAUAAGGGCACAUAGGUUGCAUUGCUAUCUGUUAACUUAUUUGGGUAGUGUAAUAUUGGUACAUGCAUAGUUGUUGUUGCUAAAUUGAUGCCAUAUGUUGAUUCCUUUAGGUCGCAUUGUUAAUCUUCAUGGAUAUGCACAAUUGGAUUAAACAUGGAGAGUGGCAUGAGUUUUUACCUAAACUUGAUAAUCAACUGUGAUAGGUAUCUUAUGUGUCUCUUAGUUAAGCAUCGUAGUAUAGUGUUGACUGUGAGGCUUUUAACUAUAAAUAAUUGCGAAGUAUUAAGCAACUUUUGGUUGUUUUUGAUCGUUUUCUUAUGAUAUUGUAGUUGUAGCAAGGAUGGGAGGAAAACAUAGGAAAGAUGAACAAAAUUAGUAAAAUCUGGUACAAAUACGUUGAUAUGAGUCUGAUGGCAUUUCUUGCAAGCCGUCAGAGAUGUGGUAAGUUACCAGAAAAAGGUUUCCGAAAGAACAGUGAAGAAGAGUUGCUGGAUGAAGGUGAUGACAUUCUUAAUAGGUCGUUACAAGUGUGGUAAGCCAUCAGAAGAUGCCGUCAAGUGGGACAUAACAUGGUGAAAUAAGAUGAAGGUCUGACGACAUUUGCUACACGCUGUCACUCCUCUGGUAAGCCGUCAGAGGAAAUCGUCAUAGUAAGGUAGAAUAGGUUAUGAAGGCAAGAAUUCUGACGACAUAUCUGAGACGCCGUCAGAAGCCUGACGAUCAACAAUAAUAUGCCGUCACCUAAAUUCAAUCCCAGCUGUGAUUUUGUUAUUUUAUUACCUUAAUUAGGAUUUAGUAUAAAUAGCAUCUUUUAGGGUUUUCGAUUGAUUCAUAAUUCAUAUAUCAGAACAUUAACCUAGGGAAGAGAGGCACGUAGCAUUCCUCUCUUACAUUAAUUAUUCUUCUUGUUUUUAUCAACUAUUUUUGGGUUUCUACCUUGUGAUUCAAUCAAAGAAACUACUUGUUGUUUUCCAUCUAAUUGUAAGUUCUCCUUAUCAUUAUGAAUUCAACUUGUGAUUUUGUUCAUCAAAUCAUGAGCGGCUAAUUCCAUUAGCCGGGGUUACGGGAUCCACGGAUUAGGGUUUGAUAUGAUACUAGGUGUUUAACGGAUUCAAAGAGUAGUGGAACAUCUUGAAAUUCUGUUGUUUUAACUAAAAUCUAGUGGUUGUGAAUAUUAGGUUAUGCCUUAGGUUUUAUUUGCUUCUAACAGAGAAAUAGACUAGAGAACGUGAAUUAUCAACAGGGACUCGGAAGCUACCAACCUUCCAUUUAAUGAUUAAUGCCAUAACUAGAUUAAUUACUUGAGAUAACAUCCUAUUGGAAAUAGAUAAGUUAUCUAAGUUCGCGAGGAUUAGAUAAUAAAUUGUCUGGUGAGGUCGAGAGAUAAGUCAGAUAGUAUAAUCGUCUGGGAUAUUCUGCUGUUCUAAUUAUUCCGAGAAUCUCUAGCAUUACCUAGUAUCUGUCAAUUCUCGAAACCCUUGGUGAACAUAGCUUUGGUUUCCCAUUUAUAUUGAUUACAAACAUUAAUAUUGAAGUGACAACAUUACUUGAUACUAUCAAAACCCCCAUCUUAAUUUUAUAUUUUCGUACCAUUUGUUUGAAUUGAACUUGUAGCUAUAGCUUCAAAUUAGCUUAAUCUCCACUCACAUUGUUCCCUGUGGAUUCUAUUACCCCGACUCCAAAGUUGAGUAAAUAUAUUGACGAUGACCGCCGUACUCUAAUUUGAGGUAUAAGUUGAGCGUUAUCACUGCCUGAUCUUCCUAUCCAAAUUUCCCAUUUGUUGUUGAGUUCAUGCCUUCGCCUCUUAGCUACUUCUUCAAAUCCUUUGGACUCAUGCAUCUCCUUCAAUUGACGGCAUCUUAAAAGACUUUCACCAACAAAUCUCUUUUCUUUCCACUUUUCUCUCAAACUCGCCAUCGCCUUACGGUGCCUAUAAUGGUUUUCAUCAAUAAGACUCUCUCAUUUUUAUUUCUCUCGACUCACCAUCGCCAUAUGGUGCCCACGAGGGUGUUCACCAAUAAGACUCUCUCAUUUUUAUUUUUUUUCCUGAUUUUUUAUGCUGAGGAAGAUAAGUAGUACCCUAUAAUGUAUCAUCACAUCCAUUGCAUGCUUAGCCUUAACAUUAUUAAAUAUUGAUUUGAAGGACUUUCUUUGGUUGUAACUUGGCUUUUGGAAAGGUGAGUAAAGGAUAGCAAAAGGCUCAAACGACACUUGAACUGGGGGUGGGACUUACAACUUUUGGAAUCGACUCAAACAACACAUUAACUCAUGCCCCAGUUUUGUUGACUGGGUGAUUCUAAAAAUAUUUAUUUGGUUGGACCGAGCCCUAAAUAGGGCAUCCUACAUAUCUCACCCCCAAGAGAGGAGAAUCAGGUCUCACGUAGUUUCAUCAGCUUGUUCUUUGUUUUGAUUUGAUUUUUUUCUCUUUUUUCUUAUUUUCAAACUCCUUCUUUUAUUCUUAUUUUCUUGAUUUUUAUCUUUGACUCUAUUUUGAUUCCAAAAGAGGAAUAUGAAAUAAAAAUAAUACUAUGCUCAAAUGGGUAAACAAAGGAUUACACAAUGUUUGGAUAGAAGAAUAAAAUGCCUUCAUCAUAUCAAUCUUCAAAAAUGAAAAUACUAAACAUGCACUGAAAUCAACAAAGGAUAAAAUAUCAUACAUAAUAUCUUUUGACCGCAUCAGCAUUGAUAGCCAUUUCUGCCAUUUUGCCCUCAAUAUCUAUCAAAUAUAAGGCUUCAUUGGGGAACACUUUCUUCACAAUGAAGGGACCUUGCCAGUUUGGUGAGAACUUGCCUUUCGCUUCAGCCUGGUGAGGAAGGAUACGCUUCAAAACCAACUAACCAACUUCAAAAUGCCUGGGUCAUACCUUUUUGUUAUAUGCUCGAGCCAUUCUCUUCAAAUACAAUUGACCAUAACAUAUCGACAUUAGCCCUUUUUCCUCAAUCAAACUCAAUUGUUCCAGUUGGGUUUUAACCCACUCGUAAUCAUCAAUCUCUUCUUCCACAAUGUCUUGAAGAAAGGGAAUUUUAACUUAUGCAGGGAUGACUGCUUCUGUCCCAUACAACAAUAAAUAUGGAGUUGCCCCUGUUAAAGUGUGAACAGUAGUGCGAUAACCUAGCAAUUUAAAUGGCAACUUCUCAUGCCAUUGUCUAGAUCCUUGUACCAUUUUCUGCAGUAUCUUCUUGAUAUUCUUAUUGGUGGCAUCCACAACGCCAUUAGCCUUUGGAUGAUAUGGAGUAGAAUUUUGAUGUGCGAUCAUAAACUAUUGACACACUUCUUGCAUCAAAUGACUAUAGAGAUUGGUAGCAUUGUCUGUAAUGAUCAUCUUAGGAAUUCCAAACCUACGAAUAAUGUUGGCAUGAACAAAAUAUACUACCUCUUUCUUUGUCACUGACUUGAAAGUUACUGUCUCUACCCACUUUGUGAAGUAAUAGAUGGCCACCAAAAUAAAUCUAUACCCAUUCGAUGCUUUUGGCUCAAUCGGUUCAAUCACGUCCAUCCCCAAGCUACGAACGACCACAGAGCAGACAUUGCAUGCCAUUUAUCGGGAGAAGAAUGUAUUAGAUCACCGUGUACCUGAUAUUGAUGAUAUUUUCAAACAAAACGAAUGGAAUCCCUCUCCAUACUAAGCAAAUAAUAACCUGCUCUGAGAAUGUUUUUAGAUAAGAAAUAACCGUUCAUGUGAGGCCCGCAUACUCCGAAAUGAACUUCAACCAUGAUUGAUGAAGCUUCUUUUGCAUCAACACACCUCAAAAGUCCCUGAUCUAGGGUUCUCUUGUAUAAGAUUCCCACACUUAAGAAAAAUCCACUAGCCAAAUGCCCAAUAGUCCUCUUUUGGUCAUUGGUGGCAUGUUUUGGGUAUUCUCCUGACUUGAUGUACUGCUUAAUAUCAAAGAACCAAGUUUUGCCAUCGAGCUCUUCUUCAACUACAUUACAAUAAGCGUGUUGAUCACGACUCUAUAUAUGCACUGGAUCGAUGUAGGCCUUAUCAGGGUGUUGGAGCUUUGAAGAUAAAGUGGCCAAAGCAUCAACAAUCUCAUUGCGAAUUCUUGGGAUAUGCCUAAACUUUACACACACAAAUCGUUGACAUAGAUCCUUCAAGCAUUGUCGAUACGAUAUUAGCUUUAAAUCAUGUGUCUCCCAAUCACCUUGAAUCUGAUGGAUGAGCAAAUCUGAAUUCCCCAACACCAAUAGUUCCUGGACUCCUAUAUCAACAGCUAGCCUGAAACCCAGAAUACAAGCUUCAUAUUCCGCUAUGUUAUUGGUACAAUAAAAUCGAAGUUGUGCUGUUACUGAAAAAUGUUGCCCCGCCUCAGAGAUAAGAACUGCACUUAUUCAGACUCCUUUCAUAUUGACAGCUCCAUCGAAGAACAACAUUCAACCUGGAUCAACAUCUAUAACAACUUCAUUGGGACACAACACUUCUUCAUUAGGAAAUUAUGUCUUUAAUGGCUCGUACUCUUCAUCAAUAGGAUUCCCAGCAAGAUGGUAUGCCAAGGCUUAGGCUUUCAUAGCAGUUCGAGUCACAUAUACAAUGUUGAACUCAGUAAGAAAUAUUUGCCAUUUUUCCAAACAACCGGUUGGCAUAGGCUUCUGAAAGAUAUACUUCAAAGGAUCCAUAAGGGAGAUGAUAUAUGCAGUGUAGGACGAAAGAUAGUGCUUCAACUUCUGUAGUACCCAAGUUAGGGCACAACACGUCCUUUCAAGAAAAGUGUACCUGGCCUCAUAUGCAGUGAACUUUUUGCUAAGAUAAUAAAUAGCCUGCUCCUUUUUGCCCAUGACAUCAUGCUGACCCAGGACACAACCAAAAGAAUUAUCCAUGACCCAUAGAUGUAAGAUCAAAGGCCUACCAAGCUCUGGUGGUACCAGCACGGAAGGAUUUGACAAGUAUCUUUUGAUUCUAUCGAACGCUUCUGGAUAUUUUUCAGUCCAUUCUACCACAACACUCUUUUUCAGCAACUUAAAUAUGGGCUCACAAGUGGUUGUGAGUUGAGCAAUAAACUUGCUGAUAUAGUUCAGUCUACCAAGUAAACUCAUCACCUCUGUCCUAUUCUUGGGCAGGGGCAAGUCUUGAAUAUCUUUGAUUUUUGAGGGAUCCAAUUCAAUUCUUUGAUGGCUGACUACAAACCCCAACAGCUUUCCAGACGGAACUCCAAACACACAUUUUGCUGGGUUGAGCUUGAGAUUAUACCUGCGAAGCUUUUCAAAGAAAUUUCUUAAAUCUUUAACAUGGUCAGCCUAACUUUUUGCCUUAACAAUUACCUCAUCUACAUAGACCUAAAUCUCCUUAUGCAUCAUAUCAUGAAAAAUAGUGUUAAUGACUCUCAUGUAUGUUGCUCCAACAUUCUUUAAACCAAAUGGCAUCACUCGAUAGCAAUAAGUCCCCCAUGGUGUGAUAAAAGACGUCUUUUUCGCGUCUUCAUCAUCUAUAAUGAUCUGGUGGUAUCCGGCAUAGCAAUCCGCAAAAGAGGCAACCUCAUGUUUAGUGCAAUUGUGCAGCAAAAUAUAUAUGUUGGGCAAUGAAAAAUCAUCCUUCGGACUUGCUCUAUUCAAAUCACGAUAAUCAACACAUACUCGGAUAUUGCCAUCUUUCUUUGGGACAGGAACAACAUUGGAUAACCACGUAGAAUAACGAGCCACUCAAAUGACUUUGUCUUCAAGAUGUUUCAUGAUUUCCUCUUUGAUUUUGAUACUCACACCAGUUUUAAACUUUAUCAACUUUUGUUUCACAGGGCGUAAUGUGGGAUCAGUUGGCAAUUUAUGAGCCACUAAUUCAGUGCUUAAACCAGUCAUAUCAUUAUAAGACCAUGAAAAAACAUCCUUAUAAUCAAUUAAUGCUUGAAUCAUUCCAUCUUUUAGAUGCGGCAAAGCAUGCAUACUGAUUUUAGUUUCCCUAACACCUUCUUGAUUCCCUAGAUUGAUUGGCUCAGUUUCAUUCAAAUUAGGAGUCGGCUUGUCUUCAAUCUGUUCUAACUUUUUGCUUAUUUCCUCUAGUGCCUUUUCUUCAUCAUAUUCCCCCUCUUGCUUCAUUAUAUCCUUAUUAGUUUGGAUUUUAAGAUCAGGCAGAAAAUUCUACAUGCAUGUCAUGUCAUUAGAAUCAUCAUAAAGAGAACUGUACAAAGAAAAGAUAAAAUCAAAAUAUAUUAGGCACAAAAUAAGGGAAAAUUGCAUUUCAUUAAAAGGGAAUGAUAGGAGGAUUUAAACACAAAUGACAACUAAAUGUAAACAAGCUAAAUUACAAAUUACAUCCCUGGAAUAACUCAGAUAAAUAUAAAGAAAAACAAAAUAUACUACCAAAUCUCCAUCCUAACAGGGAGAGGAGUGACUUCUCAAUUGUUGAGCUGGACCUCAGGACCUAUGAACUACACGUCUGCCUUACUGGUACCCUCUCCUGAUUUAACCAUGUCAACAUCAAUUAGCAGGUUCUGGAAGUUAUCAACCAAUUCAGCUUCAAAUUCUAUAGGUUUUGUGACAUCGCUCUUGAGAAAUGAUUCACUGAGUAGUGGCAUUAGGAGAGGGAGUGACCAUGUUUCUUUUUUCCUUCCGUUGGCCUUCUUCAAAUCUGUAGUUGUAGGUUCAAAUCCCAAACAAAAAUUACCCAUGUUUUCUCUCGGACAUAUAGGGCGAAUGAUACCGUGUAGAGACAUUCCCAAACCCUUCCCUGACAUAAAUCCAUAUUUCAAAAGCUCACUCGCCGUCAUGAUUGAAGCGGAAGACAAUUGUGGUCCCAGAAUAACCUGCCCUUCAACGAUACGAUACACCAACACUAUAUCAAAAGUUUGAUAGACAAAUGUCACAUCUACAUUAUUUGCUUCAAUAAGGGACAAGGGAGAAUCUUCGUAGGUGGACAACUCCCCUUUACCAUGAAUAACCACUUCUUGCCUGUUAUACUCAAACUUUAUCAUUUGGUGCAAUGUAGAUGCAACCGCCUUGGCCUUGUGGAUCCACGGUCUUCCCAAUAACAGAUUGUAAGAGGAGUCUAUAUUCAAUACUUAAAACUCUAUGGCGAACUCAACAGGCCCUAUAAUCAACAUUAGUUCUAUUUGGCCAAUGGAGUUUGAUUUUGCACCAUUGAAAGCCCUGACACAACCAUUGAUGGGCCUGAUCCUCUCAAUACUAAUAUUUAAUUUUUUCUAAGUAGAAAUAGGUCAAAUGUUUGCACCUGAACCUCUAUGAAUCAUGACAUGAGUGACAUAGAAAUCUUCGCACUUCACUGUAAUGUAAAGACCCGGGUUAUGCCCCGUACCUUUAACCGACAAUUCAUCGUCGGAGAAGCUGAUCCGAUUGACCUUAAAUAUUUUUCUAACCAUUUUCUCAAGCUGAUUUAUUGUAAUCUCCCCAGGAAAUAUUCUUUAUUUAAUACCUUCAAUAUAAUAUCACGAUGUUCCUUGGAAUGCAACAACAAAGAUAAGAGGGAAAUUCGAGCAGGGGUUUUCUUCAACUGAUCUAUUAUUGAAUACUUUGUCAACUUUAUCUUUUUCAAAAAUUCCUUGGCUUCUUCUUUGGUGACAGGCUGUUUGAUAGAUGAAGGUCCACUCACAAUUGUCUUGGACUUCGUUAAACUUUUAGGCACGAAGCAUCUUCCUGACCGAGUCAAACCCCCUACCUCAUCUACAUCUUCCACUACUUCCUUCCCCAGAUAGGUCAUCACAGUUCGCUUAUAGUUCCAAGGAACCUUUUUCGUAUCAACUACUGAGAUUUGGGUCACCGAUUUGAGGACAAUAGGCGCUGCCAGUGCUCCUUUCACCAUCAAGAUAGGCUUACCCAGAGCUCCUACCACCGUCAACUUAGGUUUAUACUGACUUAAAUCAACAUAUCUUCUAGCAGCUUGCACUAUGAUCAUGAGUUUCUUUGUGCUUUCUUGGGCUUUAUCUUCUCCCAUUCCUUCCUAGCUUAAUGACAUUGCUUUCAAUAAAUCUGCCGUAUUCACUGAUUUGUCCUCAUUGGUCUGUAUUCUGACAAUAGGCUUAUAAUACCUUGAUGAAUCUUUCCCAUCAUAUAUCAACUCUAAUAUAUUGGUUUCAGCAUAGGUUUGAAGCGGAUUCUAGUUAAUGUUUGAACCUCAAGGGCCUGGACCAGCAUUUAAUUUGUGUCAAUUAAAUCUUAGACAACUCUCUUUAAAUUCCAGCAUUUCUCGAUAUUGUGCCCUGACAUGUUAGAAUAGUACACAUACCUUAAACAAUAAUCGAGAUUCCUCGGAGGUGUAUUUGUAAGCCUUCCUUGAAUUGGGCUUAAGACCUUCAUCUUUCUUAACCUAUCAAACAAGCUAGCAUAUGAUUCCCCAAGAGGUGUGAACUGAUUUUUGAUCGCCUUUUCUUUCUUAUACUCAGUCCUAGGUUGCAAAUUAGGUCUAGAGGGGUUUUGGUAAUUUAGUGGAGCUGAUGGGAUAUUUUGUGGAGCUUGCAUUCGCCAUUGUGGGUAAGAAGGGAUUUGGGCAUAUAGUUGUGCGCUAUAUACUGGGUACAGGGAUGGUGGAAUGGAAUAUGAUGGAUUAGGGAUCGGGGCGAGGCGGUCUUUUGGGAUAGAAAUGGGUCUAGCAACAACGGUCGCCAUAUUCUCUUUCUUCUUUUUACCUCCGAACGCAGCAGAUCCAUCUUGAAUCGCUUGUGUGGUGGCUUCUAACGUGGCAAAACUCACUAUUCAGCCAGUCUUGAUUCCGUUCUCUAUUAUCUCUCCCAUUUUGAGGACUUUAAUAAAAGAAUUCCCCAUUUCCGGAAGUAAAUAUUAAAAAUAGGUCUUAUUCUGUGCCUGAAUUAAGACCUCUACUAGCUUCUCUCCCUCAUUGGAGGCUUUACCCUGGCGGCCUGUUCACGCCACCUUAUUGCGUAUUCCCUAAAGCCUUCAGUGCUUUUCUUCUUCAUGUUGACCAAUGAUUUUUCAUCAGGAAUUAGGUCAACGUUAUACUGAAAAUAUUGCACAAAUUUAGAAGCUAAGUCAUCCCAGUUGUUUCACUUGUCGAUAUCUUGAUCGACAAACCAUUUUGAAGCCAGAUCGGAAAGACUCUCCCCAAAGAAAAUCAUAAGCAACUUUUCCCUUCCCUCUGUAGACCUCAAUUAGGUGUAAUAACAUCUCAAGUGUGCCAUGGGAUCACCGUAUCCAUCAUACUUCUCAAACUUGGGCAUUUUAAAACCGAGGGGAAGGUUCACGUCUAGGAACAUGCAAAGAUCUUUGUAGGAAACACUCUUAUAACCUCUGGUUCCCUGCAAAUUCCUCAUGGCCUGUUCUAAACUUUUCAAUUUCCAUACUAUGACCACCUGUUCCUCUGUUACGACAGGUUUCUCCAAAUCAAAUGGAAAUACAGGUGGCUGAGUGUACCUAUACAGUUCAUUCAUUAUCAAAGUAGGCUCCGGGGCAUAAUACUGACUAUCUGAAACCUUCAAUAUUGGCUCACUGGCAGACUGCAAAAGCACCAUUGUCAGAUGCACGAUUGAUGGCGUCGGUUGAAUAGCGGCCCUCGAUUGGGGAUCUUCCAUUGGCACACUAGAGCUACCAGGAUAAUAUUGACGUAGAGUGAAUCCUGGUGCGUGCUCCAGUGACCCAAUAGGGGCAGAGAAUUGAGCCUGAGAGAGCGGUGGGAAAUUAGGGAUAUUCCCAAGAUCUUCAGGAAGUGGAGGAAGAGGCAUGCCACUAGCCCAUGCUUGGUGCAGAUCUAGCAAUUGUUGUAUAAGUCUCAAUACCUCAUCAAUGUGUUCUGAACUUUCUUCUCUGGGAUCCUGAUCUGGGUCAAUGAGUGAAUUUUCAAUCUCUCUACUAGCCAUGGCAAGCUUUGCUUUUGAUCUAGUAAAGUACGGGUGACUAGCCAGAGUGCUGUGAACCAGCCGCUUAUUUGAAAGAACAUGCUCAUCAAAGACAACAUCCGUUAGGAUUAGGGCACACAACAAGCAUGGGAAUUACAUUGGUAAAAUUUUCCUAGAUUUAUGUUCAUUUCUACCCGCCUUUAAGGGUAGCGAGAUCAUUUUAACAUCAUCCCGAUUUUCAUCUACACUCAUUUUCUUCUUUCCUCCAAACACACCUCUUUUCUUUCAUCCUCAUUUCCCUCAUUAUUUUUGUAUCAGUCUCUGUUCUUUCCCUUUCUCAUCUAAUCAUCCUUUCUUUUUUCUUUCAUUAUCUACCUUUGUUUUAUCAUUUUUAUGGCUUUUGCUUUUCUAAAAAACAGAGGAAAAAUAAUGAAAAAUGAUGAAACAAAAUAAUUAGAUCGAACCCAAAAGUAGCUUGCCUAGGUAUCAUGUUGUACAUGAAUCAGAUCUUGCGUAGUUCGGGCAAUGCACACACAUAAACACCAUAAAGUUAAAGAUUUCUUCUUCUUCUUAUUUUUUUUGACGAAGAACACAGAAAAGGAAACAACUCCGCAACUUCACUACAUUUCAUAAAAGAGACGACUAAACAAACUUCGAAUCUAACAACUUAAAAGCCGAUCAACAAAGACUAAACAACAUUCAAUACCCAAAAGAUAACAUGCGUAAUACUCUUAGUGAAGACUCUUAACGUUAAAGCAAACUUGACACCGACUUAAAAAGGAUACAAUACUACAAGGUAGAAAAGUAAAAGACUCAAACUAAACAAAAGAUAGGAAAUUCUCCUUCAAACUGGUGCUCUGCGUGAUGACCCUGCCUGAGAUGGACCAGCUUGUGAAGUACUCUUUCUCCCACCCAAACUUUGUAGCAUAUCCCAUUAAUACACCUUGAUAUUUGGGAAGAACCUUAUGGCCCGUAUUCCCGCCUCAUGGGGAGUGCACCAGGAAAUAUUGUUCUGACACCUUUCUACAGUCUGGAACAAAUCUGCUAACUGAACUCUCAGUGUCUCCACUUUGGCGCCCGCACUUUCAUCCUGACUAUCAUCAACAAUGCAUUCUUCUGGUAGUCUUCCUCUAAGCUGCACUGGUAAUGGCCUACUGACACCCCGAGGUAUAGAUUGAAUCUAGACCCUAUAUUUCUAAGUGUACCCUAGAUUAUCUGAAUCUACUUGGAGAGUAUUCACACCUAGCUGUGUUGCAUGAUUCCAGAAUUCUUUGUAUUUACUCUCUCCUAAUUGUUGAUCCCUAAAAUGCUCAACAUCCUUCAAGAGAUCCAUUGCUGGUGGAACGUCUUGCAUUAUACCCAAUUGGUGCAUUACCCUAAGAGGAGAGUAAGUUUGGUGCAAUUGAUCCCUAACAGAACAAAAAGAGGUUGCAUCGGACAACCACAAAGGAUUAUUUUUGGACGGAACCAGAGAUAGGUCCACAGAAUGUUGUCCUCAGAUGUUGACUCAAGAAAUUUAAUCCAAGCAUCGACCCCUAUUGGCAGCAAGAACUUAUCAAAUGCAUUCUAUGAUUCAUGGCUUCCACUCGCUCAAAUAUACAAUGAUCGAUCACAUCCGACCUAAUCAAAGAAGGCGUAUGCAAGUGCUCCAUCAUCCAUAUUUGCAAUAUCAGGUUGCUUCCUUCGAAGAAUCUCACCCCUCCUUUUACCUCUGUUAAAGCUUUAUAUAUUUCCACCAAGAUCAUAGGUACGAGAGUGAAUGUUUCCCCUAGUUGUUCAUGAAAUAAGGCCAUCACCACCAUCUACAAACGAGUAUUAAUUCACCUCUCUUCUAAUGAGAAGACCAAAAUGCCCAACAAGACUAGCGUAAAGACAUCUAGACGACGUUUCUCCCAAUUCUCCUUAGUUGUAUAAAAUUCAUCCCAAAAGCAAUCAAAACCAUCCGAGGGCCCAAAACGAGCAUACAAAUAAUCAAAGGAGACCCAAGAUUGUUUAAGACAUGUCAGGUGCUUAUUGGCCUUUAAACCAUAACCAUGAAGAAACCAUAUAGGGGAAUGAGUCCGCGCCCGAAUCAUCAUUUUCUUAAUGUAAGGAAACUUAGAGAAACUAGAUAUCUCUGCCAGAGUGGGCAUCAUUUCACAAUUUCCAAACCUAAACACCAAACAACCUGGGUCCCAAAAAGUCAAUAUAGCCUUGAUCAGAUCUGGGUGGGGCGUGAGUUCUAGGAGGGAAGUGAGAGCGCCUAACUUCUUUGUUAACUCUUGCUGUUCAAAAUAGUUAAACAUGUCCCACCAUUUGAUUAACUUUCUGGGCACCUUGACAACCAUCAUGACUCUAGACUCUGUCGACGGAUCCAUCUUGUAGUAACACAUAGGACAUCAACUUGAAAAUUCUAUAAGAGCAAAAUAUUCCCAAGCCUUGGGACUUUGUCGUAGUCAUAUGUCGAAGGGAUAGACAACUUUAUGACUCCAAAUCGCUGAAUAGUACCACUGAAUAAAAUCAGCGUACCUGGCUAAGACAAACUAAUAACACUAGAUUACGAGGAGAAAGACAUAGGCUAAGGCUAAGACAAAGGCUAAAAUAAAGAUUACUGGGGUUGCCUACGUAUCCCGCCCUGAGGGACGAGAAUCAGGUAUGCCUAGUUCUUUCCAAUUGGACAAUUAACAAUUAACUAACAGAUUGACCCUAACUUAAGAGACACAACCAAAGACAAACGAAUAAAAUCUUUUUGAGUUUUUAAUUAGACACUUCAACUAAAGCUGACACCAAAAAUUAUGAAGGAAAAUCUUUUUGGCAUUUUCACUAUAUGAAAUGUGCAAAACUUCUACCAUUUUUCAUUUUCUUUUAUAAAAAUUUCUAAAAUCUUUUUUUUGAAAAUUUUGAAUUAUGAAUGCAUGCUAAAGGAGAUAGUGAGAAAUCUUUUUCAUGUUUUGGUUUUUGAACAAAUGAGUGCAGAAAAUAAAGAAAUCUGUUUGAAUUUUCCAAUUGUGAAAAAAAAAAGCAAUAAAGAAUACUAAAAGCUAUGAAACCCUUUUUUUUUUUUACUCUUUUUUCUUUUUUUCUUUUUUUUUCGAUUCUUUCCUGCCACACACUUUACUUCUAACACAUGCUUUUCCCAAAUUAGUCUGUCAAAUGACCACGUUACCCUCAAAGAUGCAACAUUUAGUACGUAGAGAUGCUUUAGAGGCGAGUUUCCUACAAAAGGCCAAGUAGGCCCUGCUAGGUUUUCAAUAUAAUGCACAUAAGAAUGACCUAAAAGCUGACCUACAUUGAGGUUUACGAACAAGGCUGUUCGAGGGAAUGUAUGGUCGAUAGUGGAUACUUUUCUUUCCACCUACUCCGUACUAGCCAACGGCUCCCCCCUUUAAGAUAAGGGUGACUCAACUAGACGUCGUGUACACAACGUGUACUAUGGACUUGGUGCAUAAAGAAAGACUCGGGUUAUGCACAUGAUGUCAAAUAUAAAAGCGGUAACACAUAUGUUAAAUGCUGUAAACAAAGAGCACGAAAACACACAAAAGCGAUAACAAUAACACAAACAAAAAUCACAAACAAUGCUUAUACACUCGUAAUGCCAAAAAAAGCCGAUACGACUCCAAAAAUAAGCUCGAAUUCUGAAAUUGAUCCCCAGCAAUAUCGCCAGAGCUGUACCACCCUCUUUUCUAACUCCAAAAGAAAGAUUUUAAGUUCUAAAGGAUUAUAUUAACUAAAGUGUCAAAAGAAAAUGAUUGUUUCAAAAAAAAUUAUUUAUAUUUUUAAUUCAGAGCUGCCACAUGGCAUAAUCCAGUGUGCCAAGUCAUCUUUGGAAAAUCCUUUUCAAAAUGAUUUGACUCUUUUAAACUGGUUUGCGAAUAGAGAUUCUGGCUAAGGAAUUCUAUUAACCGAGGGGAAGGUGUUAGGCAUCCCUCGAUCCCAUGGUUCGACCACAGUUGCUUGGUGGAGACUAUCGGCUAAUCUGGCACCAACUAAUGUAUAAACCACACAAAACACAUGAAACAAUAAAUCAAACAUGUCAAACAAAAUGAAUCCCAAAAAAUAUAAAGUCCAGUCCAAUUAUAUAGUCCCAAAAUAAAAUAAAAUUCAGAAAUAUAAACCUACUCUAUUCUACGCUAAUCCUAAACUGUGCUCCAUUGCUUUCUCCACCUGCCGCCUUGGCCUUCGUCACAGGCAUCCUCCGAGUACAAAAUACCAUGGGGAAUUCCCCAGAAUAAACACAAAUACCUCAGGGCAUUCCCCUGCCAAAUAAUACAUUUGAUCAAAAAGCAAUAAAAUCAAGCCAUUCAACACAUGUUUCUAGCAUUCAACAUUUCCACAAUUCUUGAAAUUUGCCUACCCAACUUGACCUAUCAUGGCACUAUCACGAUCAACGAUGUCAAUGAAUCAAAGUAAAUUAACAUUAGCUUUUUAUCAAUUUUCAAUUUCUAACCCCCAAAUAACUGAUUCUGCUUCUCGAAUGAGAUAUUAUUUUAUCACACAAUUCAUGAUCGAGAGUACCCACAACAAAUCAAAACAAGCAAAUAUUCACCAAUCAAGAUCAAAUGACACACGGUAUUCAACCCAACACAACCAAUAUGAUAAACAAUGAAAUAAAAAUAAGGAAGGAGUAGAAUUGGACCUCAAAAUGUCGCUUUCAAACUCGAUGUAUUAUUUGAUUAAAUCCGGUAGAAUCCGCAUCCAAAACCUUGAUUCGAAACUUCAAAUCGAACCAACUCCAACUUGAUCAAAACCCAAAAAGAAGACCGAACAACCCCGAGACAGUCCCCGCGAAUACCCGAGAAAGGAAAUGAGACUGGUCUUAGGAAUUUUGCCUGUUCAACAAUAGUUUGCUGAAACAGAACAAUAGACAACCGAGAAAAAUGUUCUUUCCGGCAAAGAUUCGUCAGAAAAGGGUGAUUAACGGACUUAUCUGACGCUGAUCUUGGGGUAUUAGUGGAUUAGAAGUUCAGAUGUCAACCAAUAGCCUUUUUUUCUGGUAAUUUCGAUCAGAUUUGGUAGGUUCCGACACAUUUCGGGCAAAACCGUCGGCGAAACAGUAACCAGAACACUGAGUUGUCUUUUCUCCCUUAACUCCAUCUACCCCUUUUCUCUCUUGGUUCCCUCUCUCCUCGAUUCCGCACGUGAAUUGUUCAGAAGACGAUUGUGUCUCUGUGUGUAUCGUGGAAUUUUCCCAGAUGAAGAAAAGAACCAAAAAUGGAGUGUUCAAAAAAUGGCAAGAGGUCUUUCUCUGUCUUGAUGAUCCCCACCUUUUCUGGUCUGUAUUGUUUGUAUAUAUGAUAUCCUGUAAAGGAACAAUUCCUAAAUGGGAGUAUAUGGGUCCCUCCUUUCUGAAUGUAGCGUGUAGUGUAUAUAUAUAUGGUUAAUACCUUUGUGAAAUUGGGAAAAGAUAAAAGAAAGGGAAUCUUUUGGUGGUCCCACUAGAUGACAAAUUUUUUGUGAUUUGGUUCAAUGAAAUGAAAAGGAACAUGACGGGUUGGGGACGUGGUGUAUGG